UGAAGGACACCUGAAGGAUGUUGGACAUCCAGAACCCAACACGAGUGUGCACACAAAUUUUGGUGUUGGGACAUUGGAAGACCUUGAUCCAAUUGUUGAGGGAAAUCACGAAGGAUCAAAAGGGUUUUUGGAGGAGACUGGUCAUGAUGAUGAUGAUGGUGAUGGCGAUGAUGAUGUUUACAAGAAUAAUGAAAGCAGGGAUUAGGGGGAGUGUUAAGAUUUAGUUAAUUAGUUUAAUUAAAGGGAAAUCCUAGCUUUUCCCAACUGAUGUGCGGUUUCUUCCCCGAUGGGUCACGUCCUAAUGUAACGGACGCGUCCUUCUAAUCUUGCCUUUUGUAAGCGUCGCGACUGUGCGACGUGUCCCCUCCGGACAUAUAAAUAUGUACAUCAGCAGUCAAUCAAUAGAGAUCAUUUUACUGUUCACGCA